UUCCGCCCAAAAGCUAAAUGGCAAACUGAGUUAAAAAUCCUGGCCCUAAUUGGUAGGACAUGCGUGGAAGGAGUUUGCGGGCAGGAGUUUGACAGCAUGCAUAUCCAGUUGAAAUCAAGCAUAUUUUAUAUUUGAACUUAAGGUAAAAAGUUAUAUUAAAUCUAAUACCAUAUAUGCUGAAACUCAUUUAUAUUUACAUUUCUACAGGAAGUACCAGUUCAGCCGAGUACUUCAACCUUAGAUCAUAACAAAGGAAAAUAUUGAAAAUGAUUAUGUUUUGAAUGAGACGGGUAUUAAUGAAGAAAUUCAUUUGGAUACUCCAUGUAACAAGUUUAUAUCACAAAUAAAAAAUAUGUUCUUGUUCCUUUUUAAUUGAUGACAAAGUCAAAAAAAAUUGCUCUCUCGACACCAAGGGUUUCCCGCUUCAGAAAGAAGAGGAGAGUACAAGAAGUGGAAAGUGAAGAAACAAAUAUUCAGGAACUUAUUAGCUUGCAUGAAAAAACAUUAAAUGAGCUAAAAGAGAUUAGCCAAACAUUGAAAAUGUUUGUUAUGAUGAAAUGUAUAAAAAUAAUAUUUCUUAUGACGAGUUGUUAAAAUUAUGUGAAAAAUAAAAUUAUUCCAUUGAAA